rnacentral:lncRNA from 10 species
AUUUCCUACUAUAGGAGGCAGACUCCAAAAUGACCCCAAUGACCUUGCUUUCUGGGUGUUCAUGCCCUUGUAUAAUCCCUUCCCACUGAGUGAGGGCUGAAUGACAGAUUUCCAACAACCAGAAUACAACAAAAGUAAUGGAAUGCCACUUCUCAGAUUAGUUGAAAAAAAAAGACUGUGAUUUGUGCCUCUUUUGUCCUCUUGCUCUCUCUCUCUCAGCCCUCACUAUUGGGAAGCAAGUUGCCAUCUUAUGAGCAGGGAGAGGCCCACAUCCCAAGGAGCUGAUGUUUCUGGCCAACAGCCAGUGAGGACCUGAGGCCUGCCAGGUCACAUGAGGGAGCCUGGAAGUGGGUCUUCUCAGUCCUGCCAACAGCUGUGAGUGAGCAUGGACGCAGAUCCUCUCCCAGUGGAGCAUUUGGAUGACCACGGCUCUGGCUAACACCUCACUUACAGCCUUGGGAGAGAUUCUGAGUCAGAGGCAUCCAGCUAAAUUGACCCACAGACACGGUAAAUCAGGGAUUUCUUCUUGGUUUGGAUCCACUGUUGAUUUUAGGUUACAAAAAGAUGGCAGAUUGCAUCUUGGGCACUCUCUUGUAUGACUUUUUGGAGAAGCCAGUUUUCAUGUUGUGAGAGGCCUGGCAGAGGGGCCCAAAUGAGUUCGCUGGGAAGCGGAUCACAGAAACCAUGAGGUCCCGGUUUAUGACUGCAAAACAAUGGUUUAAACAGUAUUCAUUCUGGAACAUCACUCAAUUUCACUAAUACUAGAUCCCAAACACUCUGAUAUCAGAAUGUUCUUCCCUAUUCGGGCUAGUUUAUAAAGUUCAUUUGAGAGUAUUCUGAAAUUAAAUAAAACAAACCUAAAACAGUAAGACUGCAUAUUGGAAAAUGAUACUGUGUAUAAUUUUUGAGACAUCUAGCAAUCAGAUGACUAUGCCACCAUUUCAUUCUUUAAUCUCAGCAUUUUGGGAGGCCGAGGUGGGCAGAUCAUGAGGUCAGGAGAUCCAGACUGUCCUCGCUAACACGGUGAAACCCCAUCUCCACUAAAAAUACAAAAAAUUAGCCGGGUGUGGUGGCAGGCACCUGUAGUCCCAGCUACUAGGGAGGCUGAAGCAGGAGAAUGGCAUGAACCCAGGAGGCGGAGAUUGCAGUGAGCUCCCGCGCCACUGCACUCCAGCCUGGGUGACAGAGCGAGA